rnacentral:rRNA from 1 species
GACGAACGCUGGCGGCGUGCCUAACACAUGCAAGUCGAACGAAGCAUAGCAAUAUGCUUAGUGGCGGACGGGUGAGUAACGCGUGAACAAUCUGCCCUGUACAAAGGAAUAGCCUCGGGAAACCGGGAUUAAAACCGUAUGACACUUUAGUAUCGCAUGAUAAGAAAGUCAAAUCGAUUAGAGGUAUGGGAUGAGUUCGCGUCUGAUUAGCUGGUUGGCGGGGUAACGGCCCACCAAGGCGACGAUCAGUAGCCGGCCUGAGAGGGUGAACGGCCACACUGGAACUGAGACACGGUCCAGACUCCUACGGGAGGCAGCAGUGGGGAAUAUUGCACAAUGGAGGGAACUCUGAUGCAGCGACGCCGCGUGAGUGAAGAAGGUCUUCGGAUCGUAAAACUCUGUCCUUGGUGAAGAAAAGGACGGUAGCCAAGGAGGAAGCCCCGGUAACUACGUGCCAGCAGCCGCGGUAAAACGUGCGUG